UGCACGAAGGUGGUGGGGAAGGGGGUGGUCUCGAUGGUGCGGGGGACGGGCCUAGGCGACGGUGGAAGUGGUGCACGGUGGUGCGGGUGAGACGGCGAGGUGGAGGACGACGACGACGACGAGGUGGAAGACGACGGCGAGUUGGGGUCUUGCUGAGGCAUGGGGAGGAGCUGCUUGGUAGAGGGCUCCAUUAAUGCCUCCCUCCCCUCCUCGCCCGCACUUGUGGGGUUCUUGGGUUUUG
rnacentral:lncRNA from 1 species